GACGAACGCUGGCGGCGUGCUUAACACAUGCAAGUCGAACGUGAUUUUUGUGGAAAUUCUUUCGGGAAUGGAAAUGAAAUGAAAGUGGCGAACGGGUGAGUAACACGUGAGCAACCUACCUUACACAAGGGGAUAGCCGUUGGAAACGACGAUUAAUACCGCAUGAGACCACAGAAUCGCAUGAUAUAGGGGUCAAAGAUUUAUCGGUGUAAGAAGGGCUCGCGUCUGAUUAGCUAGUUGGAAGGGUAAAGGCCUACCAAGGCGACGAUCAGUAGCCGGUCUGAGAGGAUGAACGGCCACAUUGGAACUGAGACACGGUCCAAACUCCUACGGGAGGCAGCAGUGGGGAAUAUUGCACAAUGGGGGGAACCCUGAUGCAGCGACGCCGCGUGAGCGAGGAAGGUUUUCGAAUCGUAAAGCUCUGUCCUAUGAGAAGAUAAUGACGGUAUCAUAGGAGGAAGCCCCGGCUAAAUACGUGCCAGCAGCCGCGGUAAUACGUAUGGGGCGAGCGUUGUCCGGAAUUAUUGGGCGUAAAGGGUACGUAGGCGGCCUUUUAAGUCAGGUGUGAAAGCGUGAGGCUUAACCUCAUUAAGCACUUGAAACUGGAAGGCUUGAGUGAAGGAGAGGAAAGUGGAAUUCCUAGUGUAGCGGUGAAAUGCGUAGAUAUUAGGAGGAAUACCGGUGGCGAAGGCGACUUUCUGGACUUUUACUGACGCUCAGGUACGAAAGCGUGGGGAGCAAACAGG
rnacentral:rRNA from 1 species